GCCCUGCUAGCUCAAUCGGAUAGAGCGUCAGACUCUUACACUUCGUGUUAAUCUGAAGGCUGCGAGUUCGACCCUCGCGUGGGGCU